UACGUAGGGUGCGAGCGUUGUCCGGAUUUAUUGGGCGUAAAGAGCUCGUAGGCGGUCUGUCGCGUCUGCUGUGAAAACUCAGGGCUUAACCCUGAGCUUGCAGUGGGUACGGGCAGACUAGAGUGCGGUAGGGGAGAUUGGAAUUCCUGGUGUAGCGGUGGAAUGCGCAGAUAUCAGGAGGAACACCAAUGGCGAAGGCAGAUCUCUGGGCCGUAACUGACGCUGAGGAGCGAAAGCAUGGGGAGCGAACAGG
rnacentral:rRNA from 1 species